rnacentral:rRNA from 1 species
GGCUGCAAUCUUCUCAUUAUCAAUUCAGAUAAUAUGGAAGUCAUUGACACAAUGAAGAAUGGUGGAGAGUCUGCGGGAGCAGCGGCGGCAAUGAUUUUUUUUAUGGCCUGUGAUUUUCCACAAACCAGUUUUGAACAUUGUAAUAGAGAAGCGAACAAAGUAGCUCAUGAGCUUGCUAGAUUAGCAAAAUGUUCCACGACUAGGGAUUGGAUAGAGGAGCCCAUGGAAACUCUUGUAACUCUUCUGAUAGACGAUGUAACCAUUAUCUCUAAUUAA